GAGCAUCCUUUGUAAACCCCCCAGUUGCCAUUUGUGGCCUCUGGGACAAGAAGGGAUGCCAGAUUAAUCUUAGAAUUAUCCAAAGCUGAGAGCUGCGCCAGUAACUCUUGGCUAUUUCACCUCUAAGACAUAA